rnacentral:sRNA from 1 species
GCUGGGCAUUGUGGCGGGUGCCUGUAGUCCCAGCUACUUGGGAGGCUGAGGCAGGAGAAUUGCUUAAGCUGAAGUGUUUAAGGUUGCUGUGAGCUGUGAUGUCACAGCACUCUACCCAGGGGGACAGCUUGAGACUCUGUCUCAAAAAAAAAAAAAAUUUAAAUCUUGAGAGAGAGGUCUCACUCUGCUGCCCUGGCUAGAGUGCAGUGGUGUCAUCAUAGCUCACUGCAACCUCAAACUCCUGAGCUCAAGCUAUCCUCCUGCC